GAUGAACGCUGGCGGCGUGCCUAACACAUGCAAGUCGAACGGAGUCCAGCCUUAGAGACCUUCGGGUCAAAGAGGGGAAGACUGAGUGGCGGACGGGUGAGUAACACGUGGGCAACCUGGCUCAUAGAGGGGGAUAACAGAGAGAAAUUUCUGCUAAUACCGCAUAAGCACACACUGCCGCAUGGCAGAGGGUGAAAAGAGAAUCGCUAUGAGAUGGACCCGCGUCUGAUUAGCCAGUUGGCAGGGUAAGAGCCUACCAAAGCGACGAUCAGUAGCCGAUCUGAGAGGAUGAACGGCCACAUUGGGACUGAGACACGGCCCAAACUCCUACGGGAGGCAGCAGUGGGGGAUAUUGCACAAUGGGGGGAACCCCUGAUGCAAGCGACGCCCGCGUGAGUGAAAGAAAGUAAUUUCGGUAUGUAAAAGCUCUAUU
rnacentral:rRNA from 1 species